rnacentral:lncRNA from 1 species
AUGCAUGUGUGAAAAUAAUAAGAGAGAGAGAGAGAGAGAGAGAGAGAUUGUGAUUACAGGAUUGAGGGUGCUAUGUUGUUUGAAGCUUUCUUCUAGCAAAGCAGAUUGUUCUUUACUAAGCCUAAGUUUCUUUCUGGCGGCGGUGCCGUCUUCGUCUUCGUCAGUGGCUCUUACUAUUCCUUCACAGCUAUGGUCCCUCUGAUCAAUCUCUGUUGCAUCCACAACUUCUUCGCAACUGAGAUCCCUCUCCCUCUUGACCCUGCCACUGGAGAAGGAGGAAACAGCACUGUGAUGAGGUGAAUUAGUCUGUGUGGACAAGUGAUCAAGAGGGUCAUCACAAGACGAGACUUUGUUGUUGCUGUUUUGUCCUAUGAUGUUUUUGGGUACUUUGAGGU